rnacentral:rRNA from 1 species
GUGACUCUUCGGAGUUUGCAUUGUUAAAUAUGCUAGUCCUUUCAUGAUUAUGUGAUAGGUGGUGCAUGGCCGUUCUUAGUUCGUGGAGUGAUCUGUCUGCUUAAUUGCGUUUCAAAUUACUUAUAAGGUAGCAAUACGCGAUGAAGCUUUCAAUAGUCCUCACGGAUUCACUUGAGUCUCUCGCUUCGCUAUCCUUUCGAAUGCAACGAACGUGACCGCAACCUCUUGUUGCCUUCGUUUAACAUCCUGCAGCUCGCUGUGGGUACUGAGGGCUUCACUCGGUGACUUUGGGCUGAGCAAUCGGUCUCUUA